rnacentral:rRNA from 1 species
GCCAGACUCCUACGGGAGGCAGCAGUGAGGAAUAUUGGUCAAUGGCCGGAAGGCUGAACCAGCCAAGCCGCGUGAAGGACGAAGGUGCCAAGCAUUGUAAACUUCUUUUGUCAAGGGACAAAAUCAGGCUCGAGAGCCUGACCGAGGGUACUUGAAGAAAAAGCAUCGGCUAACUCCGUGCCAGCAGCCGCGGUAAUACGGAGGAUGCGAGCGUUAUCCGGAAUUACUGGGUGUAAAGGGAGCGUAGACGGUUAAGUAAGUCUGGAGUGAAAGGCCGGGGCCCAACCCCGGGACUGCUCUGGAAACUAUUUAACUUGAGUGCAGGAGAGGUAAGCGGAAUUCCUAGUGUAGCGGUGAAAUGCGUAGAUAUUAGGAGGAACACCAGUGGCGAAGGCGGCUUACUGGACCGUAACUGACGUUGAGGCUCGAAAGCGUGGGGAGCAAACAGGAUUAGAUACCCCCGUAC